rnacentral:rRNA from 1 species
AGGGCACCACCAGGAGUGGAGCCUGCGGCUUAAUUUGACUCAACACGGGAAAACUUACCUGGUCCUGACGCUAGAAGGAUUGACAGAUUGAUAGCUCUUUCUUGAUUUGGCGGAUGGUGGUGCAUGGCCGUUCUUAGUUGGUGGAGUGAUUUGUCUGGUUAAUUCCGAUAACGAACGAGACUCUAGCCUAUUAAAUAACACACAGAAUCUUGUCUUCUGUGGCGUUUCUUAAUGGGAUCAAGUGUGUUUAACGCUUUGAAACAGAGCAAUAACAGGUCUGUGAUGCCCUUAGAUGUUCGGGGCCGCACGCGCGCUACAUUGAGAGACAAAAUGAGUUUUCUAGUCUUUAAUAAGGCUAGUAAUCUUUGAAUGUUUUUCUUAAUGGGGAUAGGGGAUUGCAAUUGUGCCCCUUGAACGAGGAAUUCCCAGUAAGUGCUAGUCAUUAGCUAGUACUGAUUACGUCCCUGCCCUUUGUACACACCGCCCGUCGCUACUACCGAUUGAAUGGUUUAGUGAGAU